rnacentral:rRNA from 1 species
UUGAACGCUGGCGGCAGGCCUAACACAUGCAAGUCGAGCGGAUGAAGGGAGCUUGCUCCUGGAUUCAGCGGCGGACGGGUGAGUAAUGCCUAGGAAUCUGCCUGGUAGUGGGGGAUAACGUCCGGAAACGGGCGCUAAUACCGCAUACGUCCUGAGGGAGAAAGUGGGGGAUCUUCGGACCUCACGCUAUCAGAUGAGCCUAGGUCGGAUUAGCUAGUUGGUGGGGUAAAGGCCUACCAAGGCGACGAUCCGUAACUGGUCUGAGGGGAUGAUCAGUCACACUGGAACUGAGACACGGUCCAGACUCCUACGGGAGGCAGCAGUGGGGAAUAUUGGACAAUGGGCGAAAGCCUGAUCCAGCCAUGCCGCGUGUGUGAAGAAGGUCUUCGGACUGUAAAGCACUUUAAGUUGGGAGGAAGGGCAGUAAGUUAAUACCUUGCUGUUUUGACGUUACCAACAGAAUAAGCACCGGCUAACUUCGUG